GGGGGAAAGGCGCUGGAAUUAGGCAUGCAGUCGAGCGAGAAGUUCCCUUUCGGGGGAUGGAAAGCGGCGAAAGGGAGAGUAACGCGUAGAUAUCUGCCCUCAGGUCUGGGAUAGCCAUCGGAAACGGUGAUUAAUACCAGAUAAUGUCUCAGGACCAAAGAUUUAUUGCCUGAGGAGGAGUCUGCGUCCUACUAGCUUGUUGGUGUGGUAAUGGCGCACCAAGGCGACGAUGGGUAGCGGGCGUGAGAGCGUGGCCCGUCUCACUGGGACUGAGAUACUGCCCAGACAUCUACGGAUGGCUGCAGUCGAGAAUCUUCGGCAAUGGACGAAAGUCUGACCGAGCAAUGCCGCGUGCGGGACGAAGGCCCUCGGGUCGUAAACCGCUGUCAGAGGGAAGGAAAUUUUGACUAAACCUCAAAGGAAGCACAGGCUAAAUUCGUGCCAGCAGCCGCGGUAAUACGAAUUGUGCAAACGUUAUUCGGAAUCACUGGGCUUAAAGGGUGCGUAGGCGGCCAUGAAGGUCUGAUGUGAAAUCCCACAGCUCAACUGUGGAAUUGCGUUGGAAACCACAUGGCUUGAGGAAGACAGAGGUGAGCGGAACUGAUGGUGGAGCGGUGAAAUGUGUUGAUAUCAUCAGGAACACCGGUGGCGAAAGCGGCUCGCUGGGUCUUUUCUGACGCUGAGGCACGAAAGCUAGGGUAGCAAACGGGAUUAGAUACCCCGGUAGUCCUAGCCGUAAACGAUGAGCACUAGACUGAGGGGACCCCCAC
rnacentral:rRNA from 1 species